AAUUUAAACUCUUCCCCUCUCCUUCAAGGUCACCCAAGUUGAGGUAAACGGUCGAAGGUAUCAACGUCAACGAAAGCGAAUCUUAAUCGAACCUAACCUAUAUGGAUAAAAAUAUAAACCAUGGAAAAACAGUGCUCAGAUCUUGUCCCCUGGACCUUGGAGGACUUUUGGUGUGGAUGAUGUUCAGGUUGGAUAUUCCUUUAAAUGAUUCCACUGAACUGUACCAUUUGAUUGUCAUUCCUGUAUUGAAAAUGGUACCUUGUUCACACCACAGGGCCUACCAAAGCAAGGUUUCUCAAACAACUGUGGGGUGUUUGUUUUGAUGUAUGCCCUGUACAUUGCAAUGGAAGCACAGUGUGAUUUCACUGAGGAAAACAUGCAGCAAAUUAGGCGAUGGUGGUGCCUAGUUCUCCUGCAGAACUUUCCCAUGCCGUCUGAAGAAGUGAGGUUGAAAGAUGGAAAAAGGCGUGGCGAAAACAAAACACACUACAGGAAGCAGAUGUUCUUCUAAGGGACACACUAGGGGCAGCAAGGUGGUGCGAACUCCAAACAUUUUAAGGAACUGUUUCCCUCCCUAGUGUAAUUGGGAUGGAAGUGGAAGACCGCAUUACAAUACUUAAAGAACUACGGUUGUAUGAUGGCCUGGAUGAAGAGGAAAAUAUUCUCAAGGAACCAUUCCUGUUACAGAGAAAUUAUGAGAUGAUCUAUGUGGAGGCAGUUGACAACAAGAAAAUGACUGUCUGCCUCUUGAGGAGCAGGAGUGAAGCCAUUUUUGAGGAGUGGUCAAACCUUGUUUUUGUCUGCUGUGUUAAUUGUUAAUUGUGUUUAGUAAAGAUGAUGUAAAGUCA